GACGAACGCUGGCGGCGUGCUUAACACAUGCAAGUCGAACGGAAAGGCCCUGCUUUUGUGGGGUGCUCGAGUGGCGAACGGGUGAGUAACACGGGAGUAACCUGCCCUUGACUUUGGGAUAACUUCAGGAAACUGGGGCUAAUACCGGAUAGGAGCUCCUGCUGCAUGGUGGGGGUUGGAAAGUUUCGGCGGAUGGGGAUGGACUCGCGGCUUAUCAGCUUGUUGGUGGGGUAGUGGCUUACCAAGGCUUUGACGGGUAGCCGGCCUGAGAGGGUGACCGGCCACAUUGGGACUGAGAUACGGCCCAGACUCCUACGGGAGGCAGCAGUGGGGAAUAUUGCACAAUGGGCGGAAGCCUGAUGCAGCAACGCCGCGUGCGGGAUGACGGCCUUCGGGUUGUAAACCGCUUUCGCCUAUGACGAAGCGUGAGUGACGGUAAUGGGUAAAGAAGCACCGGCUAACUACGUG
rnacentral:rRNA from 1 species